GAUGAACGCUGGCGGCGUGCCUAAUACAUGCAAGUCGAGCGAACGGACGAGAAGCUUGCUUCUCUGAUGUUAGCGGCGGACGGGUGAGUAACACGUGGAUAACCUACCUAUAAGACUGGGAUAACUUUGGGAAACCGGAGCUAAUACCGGAUAAUAUUUUGAACCGCAUGGUUCAAAAGUGAAAGACGGUCUUGCUGUCACUUAUAGAUGGAUCCGCGCUGCAUUAGCUAGUUGGUAAGGUAACGGCUUACCAAGGCAACGAUGCAUAGCCGACCUGAGAGGGUGAUCGGCCACACUGGAACUGAGACACGGUCCAGACUCCUACGGGAGGCAGCAGUAGGGAAUCUUCCGCAAAGGGCGAAAGCCUGACGGAGCAACGCCGCGUGAGUGAUGAAGGUCUUCGGAUCGUAAAACUCUGUUAUUAGGGAAGAACAUAUGUGUAAGUAACUGUGCACAUCUUGACGGUACCUAAUCAGAAAGCCACGGCUAACUACGUG
rnacentral:rRNA from 1 species